rnacentral:rRNA from 1 species
AUGGCCAACCCGAGGGUGUUCUUCGACAUGACCGUCGGCGGCGCGCCGGCGGGGCGCAUCGUGAUGGAGCUGUACAAGGACGCGGUGCCGCGGACGGUGGAGAACUUCCGCGCGCUCUGCACCGGCGAGAAGGGCGUCGGCAAGAGCGGCAAGCCGCUGCACUACAAGGGCAGCGCCUUCCACCGCGUGAUCCCCGACUUCAUGUGCCAGGGCGGCGACUUCACCAGGGGCAACGGCACCGGAGGCGAGUCCAUCUACGGCGAGAAGUUCGCCGACGAGAAGUUCGUCCACAAGCACACCAAGCCCGGGAUCCUCUCCAUGGCCAACGCCGGGCCCAACACCAACGGCUCCCAGUUCUUCAUCUGCACCGUCCCCUGCAAUUGGCUCGACGGCAAGCACGUGGUCUUCGGCGAGGUCGUCGAGGGCAUGGACGUCGUCAAGAACAUCGAGAAGGUGGGCUCCCGCAGCGGCACCUGCUCCAAGCAGGUCGUCAUCGCCGACUGCGGCCAGCUCUAG